AUACGAAGGGUGCAAGCGUUACUCGGAAUUACUGGGCGUAAAGCGUGAGUAGGUGGUUGUUUAAGUCUGUCGUGAAAGCCCUGGGCUCAACCUGGGAGUGGCGAUGGAAACUGGGCGACUAGAGUGUGGCAGAGGGUAGUGGCAUUCCUGGUGUAGCAGUGAAAUGCGUAGAGAUCAGGAGGAACAUCCGUGGCGAAGGCGACUGCCUGGGCCAACACUGACACUGAGGCACGAAAGCGUGGGGAGCAAACAGGAUUAGAUACCCUGGUAGUCCACGCCCUAAACGAUGCGAACUGGAUGUUGGGUGCAAUUUGGCACGCAGUAUCGAAGCUAACGCGUUAAGUUCGCCGCCUGGGGAGUACGGUCGCAAGACUGAAACUCAAAUGAAUUGGCGGGG
rnacentral:rRNA from 1 species